rnacentral:rRNA from 1 species
AUCAGCUAGUUGGUAGGGUAAAGGCCUACCAAGGCGAAGACGGGUAGGGGGUGUGAGAGCACGGNCCCCCACAAUGGGACUGAGACACGGNCCAUACUCCUACGGGAGGCAGCAGCAGGGAAUAUUGCACAAUGGACGGAAGUCUGAUGCAGCGACGCCGCGUGAGUGAAGAAGGCCUUCGGGUUGUAAAACUCUUUUGAGGGGGAAGAGCGAGGACGGUACCCCUGGAAUAAGCGUCGGCUAACUACGUGCCAGCAGCCGCGGUAAGACGUAGGACGCGAGCGUUAUCCGGAUUUACUGGGCGUAAAGCGUCUGUAGGCGGAUGUGUAAGUUGGGCGUGAAAGCUCCGGGCUUAACCCGGAGAGGCCGUUCAAUACUGCAUAACUUGAGGGUGUCAGAGGGGAGCGGAAUUCCCGGUGUAGCGGUAAAAUGCGCAGAGAUCGGGAGGAACACCAGUGGCGGAGGCGGUUCCCUGGGGCACACCUGACGCUGAGAGACGAAAGCUAGGGGAGCGAACAGGAUUAGAGACCCUGGUAGUCCUAGCCCUAAACGAUGAAUGCUAGGUGUGGGAUCGAAUGGUUCCGUGCCGGAGCGAACGCGAUAAGCAUUCCGCCUGGGGAGUACGGCCGCAAGGUUAAAACUCAAACGAAUUGACGGGGCCCCGCACAAGCAGCGGAGCGUGUGGUUUAAUUCGAUGCUACACGAAGAACCUUACCUGGGUUUGACAUGUAGGUGGUAGUGAAUCGAAAGGUGAACGACCCUUCGGGGAGCCUACACAGGUGCUGCAUGGCUGUCGUCAGCUCGUGCCGUGAGGUGUCGGGUUAAGUCCCGUAGCGAGCGCAACCCUUGCUCCUAGUUACAAGUGUCUAGGGGGACUGCCGGCGGAAAGCCGGAGGAAGGUGGGGAUGACGUCAAGUCAGCAUGGCCCUUAUAUCCAGGGCUACACACACGCUACA